rnacentral:rRNA from 1 species
UACGGGGGGUGCAAGCGUUAAUCGGAAUGACUGGGCGUAAAGGGUGUGUAGGUGGUUUGAUAAGUUAUCUGUGAAAGUCCUGGGCUCAACCUAGGGAGGUCAGAUAAGACUGUUAGACUAGAGUAAGGGAGAGGGUAGGGGAAUUUCCGGUGUAGCGGUGAAAUGCGUAGAGAUCGGAAGGAACAUCGGUGGCGAAGGCGCCUACCUGGCCUAUUACUGACACUGAGGCACGAAAGCGUGGGGAGCAAACAGG